ACCUGGGUGGCUUAGUUGGUUAAGCAUCUGACUUCGGCUCAGGUCAUGACCUCACAGUUCGUGAGUUCGAGCCCCACAUCAGGCU
rnacentral:tRNA from 1 species